rnacentral:rRNA from 1 species
AGUGAACGCUGGCGGUAGGCCUAACACAUGCAAGUCGAACGGCCGCACAGUAAGAGCUUGCUCUUACGGGUGGCGAGUGGCGGACGGGUGAGGAAUACAUCGGCAUCUACUUUUUCGUGGGGGAUAACGUAGGGACACUUACGCUAAUACCGCAUACGACCUACGGGUGAAAGCAGGAGAUCUUCGCACCUUGCGCGAUUGAAUGAGCCGAUGUCGGAUUAGCUAGUUGGCGGGGUAAAGGCCCACCAAGGCGACGAUCCGUAGCUGGUCUGAGAGGAUGAUCAGCCACACUGGAACUGAGACACGGUCCAGACUCCUACGGGAGGCAGCAGUGGGGAAUAUUGGACAAUGGGCGCAAGCCUGAUCCAGCCAUACCGCGUGGGUGAAGAAGGCCUUCGGGUUGUAAAGCCCUGUUGUUGGGAAAGAAAAGCAGCAGGUUAAUACCCCGCUGUUCUGACGGUACCUAAAGAAUAAGCACCGGCUAACUUCGUG